AGAGAAGCGCAAACGGUGGAUGCCUUGGCAGUAAGAGGCGAAGAAGGACGUGGAAUCCUGCGAAAAGCUAUGGGGAGCUGGAAACGAGCGUUGAGCCAUAGAUGUCCGAAUGGGGGAACCCGGCUGCAGCGAUGCGGUCAUUUGCAUUUGAAUACAUAGGAUGCAAAGGCGAACUCGGGGAACUGAAACAUCUAAGUACCCGAAGGAAAAGAAAUCAAGAGAGAUUCUCCAAGUAGCGGCGAGCGAACGGGGAGGAGCCUGGCGUGAUUUAUUAUUGAACUGAGUAGAACAAUUUGGGAAAGUUGGCGAUAGAGGGUGAAAGCCCCGUAUACGAAGGUUUGAUGAGGAACUAGGCACGCGAACAAGUAGGCCGGGACACGUGAAAUCCUGGUUGAAGAUGGGUGGACCAUCAUCCAAGGCUAAAUACUACUUACUGACCGAUAGUGAACCAGUACCGUGAGGGAAAGGUGAAAAGAACCCCGGAGAGGGGAGUGAAAUAGAAUCUGAAACCGUUUGCGUACAAGCAGUGGGAGCAUGGUUUAGGCUGUGUGACUGCGUACCUUUUGUAUAAUGGGUCAGCGAGUUACUUUCAGUGGCGAGGUUAACUGCAUAAGGGAGCCGUAGAGAAAUCGAGUCUGAAUAGGGCGAUAGUCGCUGGGAGUAGACCCGAAACCGGGCGAUCUAGCCAUGUGCAGGAUGAAGGUUGGGUAACACCAACUGGAGGUCCGAACCGGGUAAUGUUGAAAAAUUAUCGGAUGACGUGUGGCUAGGAGUGAAAGGCUAAUCAAGCCCGGAGAUAGCUGGUUCUCCCCGAAAGCUAUUUAGGUAGCGCCUCGUGAAUGAUUACUGGGGGUAGAGCACUGUUUCGGCUAGGGGGCUGUCAUGGCUUACCAAACCGAUGCAAACUCCGAAUACCGGCUAAUUGAAUCACGGGAGACACACGGCGGGUGCUAACGUCCGUCGUGGAGAGGGAAACAACCCAGACCGCCAGCUAAGGUCCCCAAGUACUAGUUAAGUGGGAAACGAUGUGGGAAGGCAUAGACAGCCAGGAGGUUGGCUUAGAAGCAGCCACCCUUUAAAGAAAGCGUAAUAGCUCACUGGUCGAGUCGGCCUGCGCGGAAGAUGUAACGGGGCUAAAACUAGUCACCGAAGCUGCGGAUGUGCGCGAAGGCGCACGUGGUAGGGGAGCGUUCUGUAGGCUGAUGAAGGUGCAUUGAGAAGUGUGCUGGAGGUAUCAGAAGUGCGAAUGCUGACAUGAGUAACGAUAAUGUGGGUGAAAAGCCCACACGCCGGAAGUCCCAGGUUUCCUGCACGACGUUAAUCGGAGCAGGGUGAGUCGGCCCCUAAGGCGAGGCUGAAGAGCGUAGUCGAUGGGAACCAGGUUAAUAUUCCUGGACUUUUUAUAAGUGGUGAAGUGGGGACGAAGAAGGCUAGGUGAGCCAGGCGUUGGUUGUCCUGGUACUUGCAUGUAGGGGGGAAGACUUGGCAAAUCCGGUUUUCCAUAACUCUGAGGUGCGAAGUGGUUCUGACCUUUUGGUACAGAGAAGUCAUUGAUGCCCGGCUUCCAGGAAAAGCUGCUAGCCAUAACUUAUAGAGAACCGUACCGCAAACCGACACAGGUGGACAGGUAGAGAAUACUAAGGCGCUUGAGAGAACUCGGGUGAAGGAACUAGGCAAAAUGGUACCGUAACUUCGGGAGAAGGUACGCCCUUUCUGGUGAUGGGAUUUACUUUCAGAGCUGGAGAGGGCCGCAGAGACCAGGUGGCUGCGACUGUUUAUUAAAAACACAGCACUCUGCAAAUUCGUAAGAAGACGUAUAGGGUGUGACGCCUGCCCGGUGCCGGAAGGUUAAUUGAUGGGGUUAUCUUCGGAGAAGCUCUUGAUCGAAGCCCCGGUAAACGGCGGCCGUAACUAUAACGGUCCUAAGGUAGCGAAAUUCCUUGUCGGGUAAGUUCCGACCUGCACGAAUGGCGUAACGAUGGCCACACUGUCUCCACCCGAGACUCAGUGAAAUUGAAAUCGCUGUGAAGAUGCAGUGUACCCGCGGCUAGACGGAAAGACCCCGUGAACCUUUACUAUAGUUUUGCACUGGACUUUGAUGAUGACUGUGUAGGAUAGGUGGGAGGCUGUGAAGUGAG
rnacentral:rRNA from 1 species